rnacentral:rRNA from 1 species
AACGUAGGACGCAAGCGUUAUCCGGAAUUACUGGGCGUAAAGCGCGCGCAGGCGGUUCGAUAAGUCACCUGUGAAAGCUCAUGGCUAAACUGUGAGAGGUGAGGUGAUACUAUUGGACUAGAGAUUGCUAGAGGUAUGUGGAAUUCCGCGUGUAGUGGUGAAAUGCGUAGAGAUGCGGAGGAACACCAGUGGCGAAGGCGGCAUACUGGGGCAAUACUGACGCUGAGGCGCGAAAGCAUGGGUAGCGAACGGG